GUCCACGCCCUAAACGAUGUCAACUAGGUGUUGGGAGGGUAAAACCUUUUAGUACCGGAGCUAACGCGUGAAGUUGACCGCCUGGGGAGUACGGCCGCAAGGUUAAAACUCAAAGGAAUUGACGGGGACCCGGCACAAGCGGUGGAUGAUGUGGAUUAAUUCGAUGCAACGCGAAAAACCUUAACCUACCCUUGACAUGUCAGGAAGUCUUGAGAGAUUGAGAUGUGCCCGAAAGGGAACCUGAACACAGGUGCUGCAUGGCUGUCGU
rnacentral:rRNA from 1 species